CUUUCUCUCCUCCUCUCUCUCUCCCUCUCUUUCUCCUCCUCUCUCGCUGUCUCUCCCUCAGUCUCUCAGUCCCUCUUUAUCCUUCCAUGAGUUUGUUUGCCUUGGCGAGUGCAACAACUGGCUCCAAUCCGUGACUUUCCUAUCUUCUUGUUUUUAUUUGUAUUUUUUCCCCUUUAAUGAGUGAGCUGUGCCUACGUUCUCUACCACCUGCGUAUACUGGAAGAGUGCAUCUCCGGGACUAGAAAGACUGGCUGGCUGGUUGGCUGGUUGCCUUACUGACUGUUUGACUGACAGACUCGGUGGGUCUUGGGUGCUUUGGGGCUGUGGCGUCCAGCAUAGAGGCUGAAGAUAUACGGGGGGGGUAACGCCUGUUUCACUGCACCGGCGGCAGCAGUAGGAGCACAUACUUCCCUGUGCUCUUUCCUCUGUGCUCCCUGCUCUCACUAGCAUAGUAACCCACAUGAAUCAAGCAUGGAACGGGGCCGCACGGCGCCGUCGGCAGCAACUGCAGCCUUAACGAUCCCAGUCUUCUCCUCGCAGGCGAGGCGGCGUCAGAUGACUGACUCUCCGGCUUUGUGCACAGUGGAAGGGAAGCUCUCUCUCAGGAGGAACAGGAAUUUACGGGGCUCUCAUUUUGCUUGGAUUUGCGUCAGUAAAAGCUGAUUGCCCAGUACCACAGAGGAGUGCAAUCGAAUGAAGGGAAUUCCGAGGAGAAGAAAGGUCUGAUUGGUGCCUGCAGGUGUCAGCCACUCAGCGGAUUCACAACACAACGUGAACAGUCCCCCACUGGAGAUCCCUGGCAUUCACUGGAAAAAGACAGAUGGCGAAGAACAACCUCAGAAUGUGAUAUGAGCAAUGUGUAAGAAAAGAAGAGCACACAGUCCUGCAUAGUGGAUACAAUAUUUAAAAUCAAUACAUUUUGUCUUUGUUUUGAUGUUCUCUCUCUCUCUCUCUCUCUCUCUCUCUCUCUCUCUCUCUCUCUCUCAUUCUCUCGCUCUCUCUCGUAAUUUAAUCAUGUGUAUUUAAGGGAUGGAUGCAUUAGGGUUUACACCAGCCGACAGUGUGCCAGCCAGAGCCAGAAGUUGUAAAUCAACUCACUUUGAAUGACAUCUCCCCCAGACAGAAUUCCUGCUGAAUCAUCACAUCCAUGUUUUGUCAGGCCUAGGAUAGUGGACCGGAUUGGUUGAGCAUGCAUAUCAAUCAAUCAACUCCUGACCCAGGCUUUGACCUUGAGCUGGCUGGUGUACAAUAUGAAUAUACUGUUUGUAAGCACAUCUAUUAAAACCUUCUGGAGGGGACAAUUUCACACCACACUGACCAAUGGGAUUGUCUGAGUCAGCUGCUAACAGGAAGUAAAAACGUACAACUAAUGGCAUGAGGUAAGUGUGUGUGUGUGUGUGUGUGUGUGUGUGUGUGUGUGUGUGUGUGUGUGUGUGUGUGUGUGUGUGUGUGUGUGUGUGUGUGUGUGUUCAAGAGCCAGUGUACAGUAACACACUACAACGACCCACUUGCACUGUCCUGAUAUGCAGUUCAUACCUCUGUCAUCAAAUUCAAUUAUAUUCACCAUUCCACACACUUGCAAUGCUCAGAGACUUCUUUUAUGUGUGGAUAUUAUUUGAGGUUCUUGGUAGUUAUCAAAACAUAUGAGGGAGUCCUCUUAAAGAUGAUCAAUUGGGCAUGGU
rnacentral:lncRNA from 1 species